UUUGCCUGAUCCCCACUUAGAGUUUUACCUUUUGUUGUGACUUGGAUCCCCUACGGUGUUUCAUCUUCUGAUAGAAGUUAUCUUCAUUCAUACAUUAUUUUGAUUAUGAGCAGUAUUGAUGUCGUCUCCUGCAGGGUUGUCUCCCAUUUGAUAUGGUGUUGACCUAAAAUUCCCCGCAGUGUUGACUUAUUUUAUCCCUCAGAUUGAGAUGUGGAUCUUCAGCAUAUCUCCUUUAUCCUCAACAUUUUU
rnacentral:lncRNA from 1 species